AAAAACUGAAAAAACAGAUAUUUUUUGUUUUUAAUAAUUGGGGUGUUUUUUUAGUUGUUCUUGAGUUUGAGUUUUUAAAAAUAGGCCUACCAAACAGGUUUUCUUUGUUUUAGACUAAAAUUUUGUUUUUGUUUUUGUUUUUUUUGUUUUUUUUUUUUGAGGUUCUUUCCUAUUGAAAGGGGCGAUAGCAUAUUAAACUCACACACACAACACGGAUGUUAGGACUCGAACCCAGAACCUUGCCUGAGGAAGUAAAUACUCCAAACCACUACACUAGUGGGUCAUUUGCUAAAAUUUUAUUUUUUAAUUUAAAAAGAUAGAUUCAAUUUAAUAACCAAAUAGACCUAAGCUACCUAGAUAAAUUUGAUAUAGGGGGGAAUAAAAGGGAAAGUAAAUUACACAUAUCAUAUCAAAUCAAGGCAGACAACGAGAAUAAAAAAAAAAAGAAUAUAUCAAGAAGUAUCAAGGACCACAACCAUAUCACAUGUCAAAUUUAACCUUGGGAAGAAUUCGAGAAGGUUAAUUGAGAAUCUUACAAGUACUAUUGUAAAUAAUAGUGGACCACAACCAGAAAAAAUAUAUGCAUGUUGAAGAUUGAAUUUGAGGUUAAUUAAUUGAGAAUCUUAUGCUUUUACGAUAUUGAAAGAGGGAGGAAUCGAAUCUAGGACUUCGGGUAUGAUGAUAAAUGCUCUUAAUUAUUUGAUCGCUACAAAUCUCUUACUUUUUUAUUUUAUUUUUAAAAUAAGAAUGAAUAAAAAAAUUCUUAAAGCCUAUUCAAAUUUUCUAUCAAGAAAAUAAAAUAAAAUUCUUAAGUUUCACCAAAACCAAAUAUUUGCUUAACCUAUUACGAAAUCAAUCAAUUCAAGUUGUUCUUUUUAUUUUUUGGGAGAGGAGAGAGACUUGUCUGGCCUAAGGAAUGGGAGACCAAACUACGGAGAUGGGUUGCCACUAAAGAAGUAGCCCUACAAACUUUCAACAAUAAUGCUAGAGAUAUCAACAAAAAAUUGAUUACGAAAUGACAUGAAAGUGGAAUACUAUGAUUCAAACUUUUGGAAAUGAUUUCAG
rnacentral:lncRNA from 1 species